AACGCAUAUUGCGCUCUUUGGUAUUCCGAAGAGCAUGCUUGUUUGAGUAUCAGUAAACACCUCAACCUCUCUUUUUGACAAAAAAAGGAGGGUGGACUUGAGCUAUCCCAACGACCUUCACCGGUAGGCGGGCGGCUUGAAAUGCAGGUGCAGCUGGACUUUUAUCUGAGCUAAAAGCAUAUCUAUUUAGUCCUCGUCAAACAGGAUUAUUACUUUUGCUGCAGCUAACAUAAAGGAUAAUCGUCCUCUUUGCUGACUGAUGCAGGAUUUUACGACACUUUAUGUGUUGUUCAACUCGAUCUCAAAUCAAGUAAGACUACCCGCUGAACUUAA
rnacentral:misc_RNA from 1 species